UUGAUCUCAAAUCAGGUAGGACUACCCGCUGAACUUAAGCAUAUCAAU
rnacentral:rRNA from 2 species